AAGUGAUCCGCCCACCUCAGCCUCCUGAGUAGCUGCGACUACAGGCACACACCACUGCACUCAGCUCUAGGUAGGCAUUUCUAAGGAUGUGGCGGUGACUAAGACAUAAUCUCUAUCUUCAGGGGCUUCGUGCAUUAGAUACACUCAUCUAAGCCAUUCUAGUCCUAGAGCCAUUCUAGUCCUAGCCUCUUGCACAAGUUAGGGUACAUAUUAAAUGUCUAAUGCUUAUUUGAAUUGAAUUUAGAAACCAUGACAUGCUCUAUGCAUGAUCAAAAUUUGGCAUUUUCUGGGGGCAGAGUCUACAGUAAGACAGACCAUUCCAGAGACUACAUCAGGAUGAUCAUAUCUUAAGUAACCAGACCUAUCUUGAUCAUUGCUUUUUUCUUUUCUUUUCUUUUUUGAGAGAGGGUCUUGCUCUGUUGCUCAGGCUGGAGUACGAUAGCAUGAUCAUGGCUUACUGCGACAGCACGAUCAUGGCUUACUGCAGCCUCAACCUCCCCAGGCUCCCACCUUGGCCUCCUGAGUAGCUGGGACCACAGGCACACCACCAUGCCUGGCUAAGUUUUGUAUUUUUUGUAAUGAUGGGGUUUCAUCAUUUGCGCAGGCUGGUCUGCAACUCCUGGGCUCAAGCAAUCCGCCUGCCUCCGAGUGCUGGGAUUACAGGCACGAACCACUGCCCCCAGCCGAUCAUCACCACUUUGGAGUCUCCACAACUAGCCAGGAGUCAAAAAUUUUGGCCAGAGAAGCCCCAGAACCCAGAGGAAUCAAACAGACAUUGAUCCGCUGUAGGAACCAGUUCAUGAACCACAUAACGGAAGACCAGCUCCGUGUGAGAGAGUUCCAUGGUUCGCCAGAUAAAGUCCCGAAGCCCUACAGGGCCAUAGAUUUCAAUAGGCUGUUUGGACACCAUGGAGCCACUCUGCAGGCUGAUUGUGCAGAGGAGCCCAGGAAGGCCAAAGAAAUGGUCUCCAUGAAGAUGUGUGAUGAAGAUCUUGAUUGCCAAGCCACCUCCAUGCGUGACCUGAGGACUCUGCAGACAAAAUAACUACAGCAAUAGGGCCAGGCGCAGUGGCUCAUGCCUGUAAUCACACUUUGGGAGGCCAAGCUGGGCGGAUCACCUGAG